UUUUCACACCGGGAAUAGAACCCGGGCCUCCUAAGUGAGAGCCAUGUAUCCUAACCUCUAGACAUAGUAAAA